rnacentral:rRNA from 1 species
ACACGACUACAUUAGAUACCCGCGUAGUCCAGGGUAUAAACGCUGCGGGCUUGGUGUUGGGGGUCCUUUGAGGGCGCCCAGUGCCGGAGAGAAGUUGUUAAGCCUGCUGCUUGGGGAGUACGUCCGCAAGGAUGAAACUUAAAGGAAUUGGCGGGGGAGCACCGCAACGGGAGGAGCGUGCGGUUCAAUUGGAUUCAACGCCGGACAACUCACCAGGAGCGACGGUUACAUGAAGGCCAGGCUGAUGACCUUGCCUGAUUUUCCG